CAUUUUUUUUUUAUUAUUUAUAAAAUAAAGUCUGCCCACUGGUUAAUUGAAGGGCCGCAGUAUUAUGACUGUGCAAAGGUAGCAUAAUCACUAGUCUUUUAAUUGAAGGAUUGUAUGAAUGGCUUUACAAUUUUUUUUUUUAUUUUAAGAACUUUGGUGAAAUUUAGUUUAAAGUGAGAACUCUUUAUUUUUCUUAAUAGACGAUAAGACCCUAUAGAGCUUGAUUAAGAUCUAUUUUAGUUUUUAUUAGUUGUUAUAGAUUCAAUAUAUUGAGGUUUGACUGGGGUAGUGUGAGAAUUUAAUAAAUUUCUUUGUAAUUGUUAAUUAUAUAAAUUUUUUCUAGUUUUUUAAUAUUAAAAAGUUACCUUAGGGAUAACAGCGUAAUAUUUUUGGAGAGUUCAUAUUAAUAAAAUAUCUUGCGACCUCGAUGUUGAAUUAAGAUUACUUAAUGGGGCAGUUUAUAUUAAAGUUAGUCUGUUCGACUAUUAAAUUCUUACNUGAUUUGA
rnacentral:rRNA from 1 species